AUUGAACGCUGGCGGCAUGCUUUACACAUGCAAGUCGAAUGGUAACAGGCCGCAAGGUGCUGACGAGUGGCGAACGGGUGAGUAAUGCAUCGGAACGUGCCCAGUCGUGGGGGAUAACUACUCGAAAGAGUAGCUAAUACCGCAUACGAUCUAUGGAUGAAAGCGGGGGACCGUAAGGCCUCGCGCGAUUGGAGCGGCCGAUGUCAGAUUAGGUAGUUGGUGGGGUAAAGGCUCACCAAGCCAACGAUCUGUAGCUGGUCUGAGAGGACGACCAGCCACACUGGGACUGAGACACGGCCCAGACUCCUACGGGAGGCAGCAGUGGGGAAUUUUGGACAAUGGGCGCAAGCCUGAUCCAGCAAUGCCGCGUGCAGGAAGAAGGCCUUCGGGUUGUAAACUGCUUUUGUACGGAACGAAACGGCUCUGGUUAAUACCCGGGGCUAAUGACGGUACCGUAAGAAUAAGCACCGGCUAACUACGUG
rnacentral:rRNA from 1 species